rnacentral:rRNA from 1 species
UAAUACGUAGGGGGCCAGCGUUGUUCGGAAUUACUGGGUGUAAAGGGUUCGUAGGCGGUGCGGCAAGUUGGGAGUGAAAUCUCUGGGCUCAACCCAGAGACGGCUUCCAAAACUGCUGUGCUUGAGUGUGAGAGAGGCUCGUGGAAUUGCAGGUGUAGCGGUGAAAUGCGUAGAUAUCUGCAGGAACACCCGUGGCGAAAGCGGCGAGCUGGAUCACUACUGACGCUGAAGAACGAAAGCUAGGGGAGCAAACAGGAUUAGAUACCCUGGUAGUCCUAGCCCUAAACGAUCAGGACUUGGGGUGCCACCCGUUCGGGUGGCGUCCCGGAGCUAACGCGUUAAGUCCUGCACCUGGGGAGUACGGUCGCAAGACUG